UACGGGGGGAGCAAGCGUUGUUCGGAUUUACUGGGCGUAAAGGGUGCGUAGGUGGCGCGCUAAGUCAGGUGUGAAAUCUCGGGGCUUAACUCCGAAACUGCAUUUGAUACUGGCGUGCUUGAGGACUGGAGAGGAGACUGGAAUUCAUGGUGUAGCAGUGAAAUGCGUAGAGAUCAUGAGGAAGACCAGUGGCGAAGGCGGGUCUCUGGACAGUUCCUGACACUGAGGCACGAAGGCCAGGGGAGCAAACGGG
rnacentral:rRNA from 1 species